AUUGAACGCUGGUGGCAGGCCUAACACAUGCAAGUCGAGCGGAACCGCGGACGGGUGCGUAAGGGAUAGGCGUCUGCCCGGUAGUCGGUGAAAAAGUCCGUCAACGGGCGCUAAUUCCGCAUACUAUCACAUGAGCCGCGGUCGGCUAAGCUAGUGGGUGGGGGAAUGGCCUAACAAGGCUACGUUCCGUAACUGGUCUGAGAGGAUGAUCAGUCACACUGGAACUGAGACACGGUCCAGACUCCUACGGGAGGCAGCAGUGGGGAAUAUUGGACAAUGGGCGAAAGCCUGAUCCAGCCAUGCCGCGUGUUGGAAGAAGGUCUUCGGAUUGUAAAGCACUUUAAGUUGGGAGGCGUUACCAACAGAAUAAGCACCGGCUAACUCCGUGCCAGCCGCCGCGGUAAUUC
rnacentral:rRNA from 1 species